AUCUAGCUGACGAGUCCUAAACAGGAUGGAACGGGCGUCCUAGAU
rnacentral:hammerhead_ribozyme from 1 species